AGAUAUGUUUGAUAUAUUUGGUGGUUCGUCGUUGGCUAAGUCCACCGAUUGUCAGACAUAUCUAG
rnacentral:pre_miRNA from 1 species